AGAUGCAGAGCCCUGGGCCCAGGAGGCUCUAGGCACUGGAUGGGAGGUGAUCCGGGUGAGUCCCGGUGAGCAAGGGGUUCUACCACCUUCUAACAGACAGUCCAGUGCUUCAGGGCCCCUGCGGGUAAGAGGUGACUGUGGAGGAGAGAGAAUGUGUGCAGCCUCAGAGGGCCGGAGCCACUUGCCAGUU